ensembl:lncRNA
CAGCUCAGUAGUGGCAGUGCUUGGGCUCAGUUGCUCUGCGGCAUGCGCGGUCACCCCAGACUAGGGAUUGCAUCCGUGUGCCCUGCGUUGCAAAACAAACUCUUAACCACUUGACCACCAGGGAAGCCCCAAGCCAAGGACCUCCUGGGAAACCGGGGGAUGAUCGUGGCUGCCACACAGGAAAGUUGCCCAAGCUCACACAGGACUAUUCUAGUAAAACACCACGGCCGCUGCCACCCCCUGCUCGACGCCUAUGACACCAGGCUCUCAAAAUCCCAUUUCAGCUGUUGAGGAGUCAGUUGUUUCUGCAGUCAGACUUCUGGAAGAUACCAUGUGCUGUUGGGUGGCCAGAAAGUCUCAUUGUUCACUUCAAUUUCCAAGUCGGUGUGUCAGCCUGGCAGACGCUCGGUGAUUAUAAAAGGGCAGAACCUUGCUCUGCAGCAGCGAUAGCUCAUCCAAAACCAUCCCUGGACUGUGGCGUGGUGGGUCCAUCUGAACUGGCAGAUCUCACUGGAGCGGGUGCCAGGCCUGGGACCGCGGUGUCUCCC